rnacentral:rRNA from 1 species
AACGUAGGAGGCAAGCGUUAUCCGGAUUUACUGGGCGUAAAGCGCGUGCAGGCGGUUUCCUCAGUCGUGCGUGAAAGCUCCCUGGCUUAACCGGGAGAGGUCGUGCGAUACUGGGAAACUGGAGACAGAGAGAGGCAAGUAGAAUUCCGGGUGUAGUGGUGAAAUGCGUAGAUAUCCGGAGGAAUACCAGUGGCGAAGGCGGCUUGCUAGCUCUGUUCUGACGCUCAGACGCGAAAGCAUGGGGAGCGAACGGG